CACCGCGGUUAUACGAGAGACCCUAAUUGAUAGCCACGGCGUAAAGAGUGGUUUAGGAUUAAAAAUAAAUAAAGCCAAAGAUCCUCCUGGCUGUAGCACGCAUUCCGAGGACACGAAGCCCUACCACGAAGGUAGCUUUACUAAUAUUUUCCUGACCCCACGAAAGCUAAGAAA
rnacentral:rRNA from 1 species